CACGCUCUCAAUCAGAGGAAAAUGCUGUGGUUAGUUCUGUCAAUCAAACCUGCACUAAGCCCAUCCCCUAAAUAUGUGCCCUGUGAUUUUCAUGCAGUGAUAUAAUACUGUUUAUGGCCAACAGGAGGCAGCAGCUCUUGUGUCUCAGCGUGCUGUAAACCCCAGAGAGUUUUUCAGACAACUGUCCUCCUCAAGUGUCCACAUAGCCUCCCAUCCCAGCUCCACAUGUCCAGCCAGGAGUCCCUAUAGGCGACUGCAUCGAUGUCAGACAGACAAUAUCUUCAGUUUCAAUGAAUCACCUUCUUCUACACCUACUUCCCCAUACAGAUCAUCAGUGGUAUCGCCUUACUUUCCGUCGACUCCCACAUCCCGGAGCCCAAUCCUUUUCACUAGCACUAUGGCUUCCUCGCUGCCGAAUGGUUCAAUGGUAUCUAACAAAAGCCAGAUCCAGCAAUCUAAGAUGAUGGAGCCACGGCUCCAAACUCAACCAUCACCUACAACCGAUGCAACUGAAUCUGAAAUCAAAACUCCUGUCAGUGAUAUACUAGACAGUCUGGUCUUUUAUCCACCUCCACCAACCCCUGAACAGCUCCAACCAGAUGAAUCAGAGGUAGCCGAUGAGUUUCCUCCACCUCCCCCUGGUUUUGAGAAUUCACCAGAACCAUCUGUGGGCCAGCCUGAGACACUUGACGACCCCUUAGACCCUCUUCUUCCUCCAUCAUGUGUUUUGGUACCUGAGCCACCCACCAGACCACUUCCUGCUCUGUCUGUUGCUCCACGAACGCUGAACGACUUGGAACCGGGGAGGGAUUUUACUGCUUGGGCAUCAGGUAUAUCUACGGUUGAGGAGGAGGAGGAUGAAGGGAAUGAAGCAAAAGAGAUUAAAUAUGAGGGGAAAGAUGCAACUGAAGAGAUGUAUGGAGAGCGAGGGAGGCAUGAAGAAGAGAAGGGAGGUGGAGAAGAGAGAGCUGAAACUGGAGAGAUGAAAAACAGGGGACAGGAAGAACACGAUGGAAUGACUAUGGAAAAUCAUGAAAGUGAAAAAGAAUCAAAUGGUAAAAUGAUGGAGAAAUAUGAGAGUGGAAAAGAACAAGAUGGGAAAAUGUUGGAAGAAUGUGAGAGUGAAGAAAAACAAGAUGGAAAUAUUAUGGAAGAACGUGAGAGGGAAGAAGAUAAAGUUGGGGAGAUUGUGGAAGAAUUUGAGAGUGGGAAAAUUAUAGAGGAAAAAGAAAGUGAAAAAGAUGGGAAAGAUUUGGAAAAAAAUAUGGAAGAACAUGAGCAAGAUGGGAAAAUUGUGGAUGCAUUUGACAGUGAAAAAGAUGAGAAAAGCAUGGAAAUAUCUGAAACUGAAAUGAAACGAUAUGCAAAAAUGAUGGAAAAAUGUGGGCAAGAAACUGAACAAAAUAGGAAAAUGAAAGAAAAAUGUGAUGAAGAACAUGACAGUGAAAAUGAACAAGCUGGUAAAAUUAUGAAAGAACAUGAGGUUGAUAAAAUACAAGAUGGGGGCAUCAUGGAAGAACAUGAAUGUGAAAAAGAACAAGACUGGAAAAUUAAUGAAGAAUUUAAGAGUGAACAAAUACAAUAUGCAAAAAUGAUGGAAGAAUGUGGGCAAGAUGGGAAAACUGUAGAAAAAUGUGAGGAAGAACAUAAGAGGGAAAAAGAAAUUGAUAGAAAAAUAAUGGAAGAAGAUGGAAAAAAAGGAAAUCAAGAUGGAAAAACUGUGGAUGCAUUUGAAAGUGAAAAAGAACAGGAUGAGACAAGCAUGGAAGGAUUUGAGACUGAAGAAAUACAUAAAUGUGAAGAAGAACAUGAGAUUGAAAAAGAACAGAACCGGAAAAUGAUAGAAGACUGUGAGAGUGAAAAAAUACAUGAUGGAGAAUUCAUAGAAGAACAUGAAGGUGAAAAAGAGGAUCGGAAAGUAGUGGAAGUAUUUGAGACUGAAAAAAUUAUGGAGGUAUGUGGGCAAGAAAAUGAGCAAGAUGGAAAAAAUGUAGAAAAAUGUAAGGAAGAACAUGAGAGUGAAAAAGAAGAUGAUGUUGAAGAACGAGAUAGUAGAAGGUUGGAAGAACAGGAUUGGAAAAUGAUGGAAGUGUUUGAAAGUGAAAAAGAGCAAGAUUGUAAAAUUGGGGAAAUACAUGAAGAUGGGAAAAGUCUGGAAGAACAUGAGGGUGAAAAAGAACAGAAUCAGAAAAUGACAGAAAACUGUGAGAGUGAAAAAAUACAAUAUGGGAACAUCAUGGAUGAACAUGAAUGUGAAAACAAACAAGAUGGGAUGACGGAAAACCAACAGGACAGACAGAACCAAGACAAUGAACAUAUGUCACAUGUGGAUGUAGACAGAGCAGUGAACGUGACUGUGCUCAGGAAGGAAGAAUCAUACACAGAAAUAAUAAAGAAGAAUGAGGCGACAGAAGUAGGUGAUGAAAAUGAGAAGGAACAGAUGGACACACCUUUAAUCCAGACAGUGGAGGCUGAUGUAGUUUUUUCCCAGCAUGCACCACUCUUUCAAGAAUCCCAUGCUACAGAGCCAUCUCAAAUCAAUGACGCAUGUAUUCCUGAAAUCAUUUCAACCACUCAAGAUAAAAACGAGCCACAGAUGAGCUCAACUGAUACCUUACCCCAAAUAAACUUACCAACCAUUCAGGUCGAGACAGAUCUUUCUAGUUUGAGCAAUCAAGGAGAUUCAGACAUGAAAGAAAAGACUGAAUCUGUUGACUCUCAGGCUUCCUCAGAGACCUCCAAGAACAGCCCAGACGCCACAUCAGCAGAACAGACUCCUGACACAGAAACAUGGGCUACAGUGGAGGAUGAACAGACAGAAAUGCUUCAACAGGAUAAAAUUGUGGACAGCAGCAAUUAUUUGGCUGAGGGGAUCAAUACUGAGUGCAAGACAUUACCUAUAGCUGAGAAGCAAGCCAGGACUGGACAGUCAGAUACUGCAAUGGACCUAAAAUGCAGUAUUACUCAUCAGCUGGAUCCGACUAAUGACAUAAGUGAUCUUGAAGUGGGAGAAGAGGCUAUAUCACUCCUAGCCAGUGACACAGAUGUGGAGCAGAACUUAAAGUCUAAUUCUGACCCUGAUCAAGUGAAUAAAGACAUUAAACAUAAAAUUAUGGAGAACUGCGAAACAAUCGCGGAAACACCCAACAACAUGAGGAAUGAUAAGAUAGCCGAUGAAAAGUGAAGAACAUAAUU
rnacentral:lncRNA from 1 species